rnacentral:rRNA from 1 species
AACGCUCUGGCUUCAAAUCAGG